AUGGUCUGUGAGGUCAAUUUAUAAGCAUAGAGGCUUUUACCUACACAGGAUGGAGAUGAAGGGAACAUGGAUAUUUUGCUCGAGUCUAUGGCGUCAGUCAGCUGAUAAAGGCAUUUCUACGGAAGACGAAUGUCAUUGUCAAAUUCUAAAUCCUGGGACUGGGAUGGAGACCACCUUCUGGAGAUUAAAGAUCUAUUUAUUUAUUUGAGAGAGAGGGAG